rnacentral:rRNA from 1 species
CCUACGGGGGGCUGCAGUGGGGAAUUUUGGACAAUGGGGGCAACCCUGAUCCAGCCAUUCCGCGUGAGUGAAGAAGGCCUUCGGGUUGUAAAGCUCUUUCGCAAGGGAAGAAAACUUAUGAUCGAAUAAAUCAUGAGGUUGACGGUACCUUGAUAAGAAGCACCGGCUAACUACGUGCCAGCAGCCGCGGUAAUACGUAGGGUGCGAGCGUUAAUCGGAAUUACUGGGCGUAAAGCGUGCGCAGGCGGUUUUGUAAGUCGGAUGUGAAAUCCCCGGGCUCAACCUGGGAACUGCGUUCGAAACUGCAAGGCUAGAGUGUGUCAGAGGGGGGUAGAAUUCCACGUGUAGCAUUGAAAUGCGUAGAGAUGUGGAGGAAUACCAAUGGCGAAGGCAGCCCCCUGGGAUAACACUGACGCUCAUGCACGAAAGCGUGGGGAGCAAACAGGAUUA